GCGUUGUCCGGAUUUAUUGGGCGUAAAGAGCGUGUAGGCGGCCAUACAGGUCAGCUGUGAAAACUCGAGGCUCAACCUCGAGACGUCGGUUGAAACCGUUUGGCUAGAGUCCGGAAGAGGAGAGUGGAAUUCCCGGUGUAGCGGUGAAAUGCGCAGAUAUCGGGAAGAACACCCGUGGCGAAGGCGGCUCUCUGGGAAGGUACUGACGCUGAGGCACGAAAGCGUGGGUAGCAAACAGG
rnacentral:rRNA from 1 species